rnacentral:rRNA from 1 species
GUGGGGAAUCUUGCGCAAUGGGCGAAAGCCUGACGCAGCCAUGCCGCGUGAAUGAUGAAGGUCUUAGGAUUGUAAAAUUCUUUCACCGGGGACGAUAAUGACGGUACCCGGAGAAGAAGCUCCGGCUAACUUCGUGCCAGCAGCCGCGGUAAUACGAAGGGGGCUAGCGUUGCUCGGAAUUACUGGGCGUAAAGGGCGCGUAGGCGGACAGUUUAGUCAGAGGUGAAAGCCCAGGGCUCAACCUUGGAAUUGCCUUUGAUACUGGCUGUCUUGAGUACGGGAGAGGUGAGUGGAACUCCGAGUGUAGAGGUGAAAUUCGUAGAUAUUCGGAAGAACACCAGUGGCGAAGGCGACUCACUGGCCCGUUACUGACGCUGAGGCGCGAAAGCGUGGGGAGCAAACAGGAUUAGAUACCCGAGUAGUCC